UACGGAGGGUGCAAGCGUUAUCCGGAAUCACUGGGUUUAAAGGGUGCGUAGGCGGCUUGAUAAGUCAGAGGUGAAAGCCCACGGCUCAACUGUGGAACUGCCUUUGAUACUGUCAGGUUUGAAUUGGGUUGAGGCAGGUGGAAUGUCGCAUGUAGCGGUAAAAUGCUUAGAUAUGCCAUAGAACACCGAUUGCGAAGGCAGCUUGCCAAGCCUUGAUUGACGCUGAGGCACGUAAACGUGGGGAGCGAACAGG
rnacentral:rRNA from 1 species